UUCUAAUUACUUAGGUCACUUCAGGCUUUAAAUCUAUCUUCUAAAUUGUGACACAGCCAUAAUUAGGCCAUAUGUUAAUUAGCAGGAUGACACUGUGUGCCUUGUCACUCGUGAGUGAUGUAGAUCAUCCCAGAAAGUGCCAUAGAAAGAGGAGUUCAGUGAGAAGAGGAAGUCUAAGGGAGGUUGGAAGUGACUCUUUGCUCAGCAAAAACUGCCUUAGCAGGAGAAAAUGGCAAUGUGUAAGAUGGGGAAAGGAUGGGGUCACACAAAGAAAAAGAGCUAGAGUUGACCUCUUUUCCACUCUGGGAAUGAGAUGUAAGCUAGGAGGCAAGCCUGAGGCUGAGACUCCACCAGGGAUGGCAGAAUCUUCUGAAGAAUUGGAGGUGGUGGCCAGGGCAGAGGUCAAGGUCUUGACGGAGGCCAUUGAUGAGGUGAAUGAAAAAGAGACCAAGUGA
ensembl:lncRNA